AUAAGAAGUCUGACCUGCCCAGUGAAAUUUUUAACGGCCGCGGUACUCUGACCGUGCAAAGGUAGCAUAAUCACUUGCCUUAUAAUUGAAGGCUUGUAUGAACGGUUUGACAAGAAUAAAGCUGUCUCUUUUUAAAUACAUAAAAUUUGAUUUUUAGGUGAAGAAGCCUAAAUUAAAUUGAAAGACAAGAAGACCCUAUCGAGCUUGAAAACUUUUUAUUAUAUAAUGAUUAAAUCAAAUUUUAAUAAAAAUUUUUAGUUGGGGCGACUGAGGAACAAAAAAGCUUCCUUUAGAUUUAUUUACCAAUAAGUUUUGAUCCAAAAUAUUUGAUUAAAAAAAUUAGUUACCGUAGGGAUAACAGCAUAAUUUUUCUUGAGAGCUCAUAUCGAAAGAAAAGUUUGUGACCUCGAUGUUGGACUAGGAUAUCCUGAUAGAUGUAGAAGUCUUCAAUGGUUGGUCUGUUCGACCA
rnacentral:rRNA from 1 species